AGCAGGUUUGAGUUUUAUUUUGUAACAGCCAUCUAAUAUUUAUUUUGAUUUAUGCAGCUGGCGUACUGUAUCCCUAUCCAACCUCACCAUUCUGACUGUGUUACAAAAGCUGGAGACACAGAGCUAGAUGCUUGUUGUGCUGCAAGAGGAAAUUAGUUCAAAUCUAAACCAUUUAAAUACGUUACAGCUCAGGGAGGCACCAGAAGCUUUAAUUUCUCAGAAUCACUAGGAGCACUGGAGCCAUGGCAGCAAUUCAGAACAUGUCAAAUACUGUAACAAUGAUAAGUCCAAUAAAUGAAGCUUCAUCAAGCACAUGAAGUUAAUGACAAUAUCUGUCAGUAUUUUAGUAUUUUUUAUUAUCUAUCCAGUCUGCGAGGAUUAACAUUUUACCGAAUGCCAAAAU